GGCUGCUGCUGCACCGGGAGAUGGGCGCCUCGCAGGCGCUGGCCGCGGCCGGCUACCCGCUGUUCGAGCUGGCGAUGCUGCUG
rnacentral:tRNA from 1 species